rnacentral:rRNA from 1 species
CCAAUAGCGUAUAUUAAAGUUGUUGCAGUUAAAAAGCUCGUAGUUGAAUUUCGGGAUUGACACAUCGGUCGUGCCUUAAGGGGUAUGAACUGGUGUAGUCAAUUUCUCACCUUCUGGAGAACCGCGAUGCCCUUAAUUGGGUGUCGCGGGGAACCAGGACCUUUACUUUGAAAAAAUUAGAGUGUUUAAAGCAGGCAUUUUGCUUGAAUACAUUAGCAUGGAAUAAUAAAAUAGGACGGCAUGAUUCUAUUUUGUUGGUUUCUAGGAUCACCGUAAUGAUUAAUAGAGAUAGUUGGGGGCAUGAGUAUUCAAUUGGCAGAGGUGAAAUUCUUGGAUUUAUUGAAGACGAACUACUGCGAAAGCAUUUGCCAAGGAUGUUGUCAUUAAUCAAGAACGAAAGUUAGGGGAUCGAAGACGAUCAGAUACCGUCGUAGUCUUAACCAGAAACUAUGCCGACUAGGAAUCAGACGAUGUUAAUUUUUUAAUGACUCGUUUGGCACCUUACG